rnacentral:tRNA from 1 species
AGGGGUAUAGGCUAAUGGUAAACUGCUGGUCUCCAAAACCAGUCUUGAAGGUUCAACUCCUUCUACCCCUG